AGCAGCUUUAGGUGAGUGACGGUCGGCAGUUGGUGACACACAAGAAGUGAGAAGCACACACGCAGCGUCACAAUGGCUCCCAUCACAGUGGCGGACAUGUUGUCUUCUCUUUCGUCUGCUGAGGCGGCCAUCGUCUCCUUAGUCGUCUUCCUCAUCCUCAGCAUCAGUCUGGUGGCUCUUUGCAACGACUGUAGGCGGAACUCGGGCAACGCGUACGACGUGAACCGAGGAGUUACGGUAUGAACUUCCUGUCACUAU